AACCUGUUUCAUAAUCGAUAUUCCACGAUUUAUACUACUUGUUGUUUAAAUUUACAUAUCGCCGUAGUUUGAAUAUUUUAUUAAUUAAUGUUUUCAGGUCAAGGUGUAGUUAAUAAAUAAGUGAAAAUGGGUUACAUUGAAAACUUUAUGUAAAUUGGAUUUGAAAGUAAGCUCUAAAAUAUGCACAUAUCGCCCGUCGCUUUCAUUAUAAAAUGAAAUAAGUCGUAACAAAGUAAGCUUAUUGGAAAAUGAGCUUGGAAUUCGAGUUAAAGCUUAUAAAGUUUUUUGUUUACAUUAAAAAGGAAAUUGUGAAAUUCAAUUUAAUUCGAUUUUAUAAUGUUAUUAUUUUUUUAUUUUGACGUGAUUUAUUUAAAAUAUUAUUGAUUUUAUUAUUUGUAAGAAAAAAUUUUAUAAUAGUGUAUAGUACUGUAAGGGAAUUUUUUAAAAAUUUUAUAAGAAGGUUUUAAUUGCUGUACCUUGUGUAUCAGGGUUUAUUAAAUUAAUGAUCUCGAAUUUAAAAGAGUUAAUUUUAGUGUUGAAUAACUAUUUAAAAGUUUUAUUUAGUAAUGAAACGUUAUUCGUUUUUAAAUAUAUCUGGUUUUUUAAGAAAUGAAUUUAAUUCAGUAAUUAUUAAAACAGUAUUAUAAGGGAAAAGCUUUUGGUUAAAAUAUUUAAAAUGAGUUCAAUUUUGAUGAUUUAUAGGAUUAGAAGUUUUUAUUUUGUAUAUUAUGUUAUAAUUAAAUUUAAGUGUUUUAUUAAAAAUAUUAUUUUAAUAAUUAAAAUAAUGGUAUAAUGAUAAAAUUAGUAAGGUUUUAUUAAGGAAUUCGGCAAUAAAUUUUCACCUGUUUAAUAAAAACAUGGCUUUUUGAGAUUGAUUUAAAGUCUGGCCUGCCCAAUGAUUUAAUGGCCGCAGUAAUUUGACUGUGCAAAGGUAGCAUAAUCAUUAGUUUUUUAAUUGAAAGCUGGAAUGAAGGGUUUGAUGAGAAAAUUACUGUCUCUAGAAUUUUAUUUUUGAGUUAAAAAGCUUAAAUAAAUUAAAAAGACGAGAAGACCCUAUAGAUUUUUUUGGUUGGGGUGAUUUAAAAAU
rnacentral:rRNA from 1 species